CUUCUGUAGUGGGAGAUAUACUUGAAAAACCGAAACAUAUGCAAACCGAGAAUGCCUUUUGCUGCAGCGAGAAACGUGUUGUCACGUUGCUACCUUGCUCAGAUCAGGAGGCAUUUGGAACCUAGGUUGAGGUGUCCACAUAGACUCGUCUCUUUGGUAGGUAUCUCAACAUUCAAUAGCUGUACCUUCGCCAAGGUCGCUCCGUUGGAAGUCGAGUGUCUUUAUGCUGUAUAUAGAUAAAUGAAAUGUAAAUUUUUAAGAUACUUGUCUUAGACAAUAUAUAUAUAUACUUUGAAUGGUAACGCUACUAUGAGUUAGCAAUGGUUAGCACCAUUUUGGGUUAAUAUAUAUAUGUGAGUAUUUGAUCAUUGUAGCAUAUCAUUCAAGUACUUGCAGUUGAGAUCAUGAAAUGUGACUUUAGGAAUUUUCGAUA